CCGUGCAAUAACUAAGAUAUUGCGUUUCGUAAGAAUAUUCAUUUCUACAUCGCAAGGAAAAUUCACAGCAAGCAAAAGUCAGUCGAAUGUCGUUGUAGAAGUAAAGUUUCAGGUACGCGUACGUAUUUCCCAUAGUCUUCAACCGAGGAAUGCCAAUCACAGUGUAAUUGUGAAAACAUGAAAAUACAAUAUAAACAUGACCACUACAACGAAGCCAGAACAAUCGUGUUUUUUAUAAGUGUUCUGAUGAUAAUCACGGGCUCGGAAAUACUAUUGUUUUUUCGUGCGCGCUGUGUUCUACAUCCAAAAACAUGGCAGCAAAUUCUCAAGUCUAGAAGAGACUUCUUGAACAGAAGCAUCCACAAUUGGAAACAGAACCACAAAAAGAAUAUUCAAAGCCAUCGUUAUGGCAAAAUAAUGGAAAUACUAUCGGUUAAACGUACAACAAAGUACUACGACAGGCAAUAGAAACAUGCAUGAUACACAUGAAACGGUAGUAACUUUAUGUCUCGUGUUAUACAUUUUUGAUAAAUUUAGAUGAAUGAACUCGUCUGUAAUAUAGCUGUAAUUACUUUUUGCAAGGAUACAUUGCAUUGCAAUACAACAGUUCACGUUUGCAUAAAUUUUUUCCUAACAACUUCGAAAUUAUAUGUUAAUAUGAAGUAUUGAACAAUGAUGAGCCACAAGUUGCUAUUUCUUAUCUUAUAUACUCUUUUGAGAAUUAUAUCGUUUAUUGUUUCACUUGACAAA